UCUUUCUUUGCUUCCUAGCCACCCUGGGGUGAGCAGUCUCACUCCACCAUGUGCUCCCCACUGUGACGUGCUUCAUUACCACAGGCUCAAAGGAAUGAGGCCAAGAAACCACGGACUGAAACCUCUGAAACUGGGAGCCAAGGUUGGUCUUUUGCUUCUUUGUCCCCACAGAGGACUAUGUGCACCUCACGGAAAAGCUUGAAUGUACGUGUUCUGGCUUAACCAAGAGGCCAAGAUGGUGGUCUAUGUCUAAGUCCUUAUGAUAAAUUGCUUCUCCAACUUCCUCAAGCUGACAGUAUAAACUGCCAGCCCUCCUCACCUCAGCUGAGAUGAAUGGACAGAAAAGAAAUACCUCCAACAGAAAGCUGGCCAGUCCUUCUGAAAGGAAUAUGCAGACGCUGGCCCCAGGAGGUCAAGGUCCUGGUUUCCGCAAGGGAGGGAGGGAGCAGAAAUGGCCACGGGAUCAAACAGUGGGAAAACUUUCUUGUCUAUUGUGUCAUUGUAUCGUCUCACCCACUUCCUUGCAAUAAAAGCCCAUACACA